rnacentral:lncRNA from 1 species
GGGAGCUGGCUCUCCUGGGGUGAGGGGAGGGUUCCUAAUAAUGCAAAUGCUGGCUGCGUGGCUGGCUUGUCUGCCUGUCCCCUCGAGCACCACAAUGUGGAGAUGGGACCAUGCGUCCAAGGGUCCCCUCACUGGGCUAUUAACAACAAAAACCGUGAUUGAAUUUCGAGGGUUUGACGGAGCACAGCCCCUUCUGUCUUGAGUCCUGAAGCCGUAGAAAAAUGAACACCAGGAAGGGCGCCUCAUUCUCAAUGGAAGACCCACUAGAUUGUGAGGCACCAGCAGAAAGUGACCAGUUAGAAAACACAGAUUUUUGAUGGGUUCUCUUGAACCCAUUUCAUCACAAGUACUGUCAUCAACUCCCACCCCUGGCUGGUUCUGUUGAUACAUCCUCCAUCACUCAUGCUGCGUACAGGCAUCCCCCAGCACCAAACAGGCCACAGGAGGAAAAACGUCUUGGGAAAUUCGGGGGAGAGGGAGAGUCUUGGAAGGACAAAUGAGGACCAGGUGGUAAUCUAUAGUUUCUGUCACAACUGGAAACCACAGUAAAAGUCACUGCUUCCUCCAGCCUACAACAAUAGGCACGCACGGGUACC